CUAUGUCAAGUGGAAACACUGAUUCCCGUACAAUCACCAAAGUUAAGCAACGUCGAACCUUGUCAGUACCUAGGUAGGAGACCACUUGGGAAUACCAGGUGCUAU